rnacentral:snRNA from 1 species
AUUCUUUCACUUGGGGCAAUGACGUAACUAGUGAGGUACUAACCGAGACGCGUCUAUUACUGGUUGAAAACUAUUUCCAAACCCUCUCUUCGGCCUCGGCUCUGUCUAGGACGUUAGAGAAUUUCUGGAAGGGCUCCCUAAGGGGUAAAGCU